GAUGAACGCUGGCGGCGUGCCUAAUACAUGCAAGUCGAGCGAACGGACGAGAAGCUUGCUUCUCUGAUGUUAGCGGCGGACGGGUGAGUAACACGUGGAUAACCUACCUAUAAGACUGGGAUAACUUCGGGAAACCGGAGCUAAUACCGGAUAAUAUUUUGAACCGCAUGGUUCAAAAGUGAAAGACGGUCUUGCUGUCACUUAUAGAUGGAUCCGCGCUGCAUUAGCUAGUUGGUAAGGUAACGGCUUACCAAGGCAACGAUGCAUAGCCGACCUGAGAGGGUGAUCGGCCACACUGGAACUGAGACACGGUCCAGACUCCUACGGGAGGCAGCAGUAGGGAAUCUUCCGCAAUGGGCGAAAGCCUGACGGAGCAACGCCGCGUGAGUGAUGAAGGUCUUCGGAUCGUAAAACUCUGUUAUUAGGGAAGAACAUAUGUGUAAGUAACUGUGCACAUCUUGACGGUACCUAAUCAGAAAGCCACGGCUAACUACGUGCCAGCAGCCGCGGUAAUACGUAGGUGGCAAGCGUUAUCCGGAAUUAUUGGGCGUAAAGCGCGCGUAGGCGGUUUUUUAAGUCUGAUGUGAAAGCCCACGGCUCAACCGUGGAGGGUCAUUGGAAACUGGAAAACUUGAGUGCAGAAGAGGAAAGUGGAAUUCCAUGUGUAGCGGUGAAAUGCGCAGAGAUAUGGAGGAACACCAGUGGCGAAGGCGACUUUCUGGUCUGUAACUGACGCUGAUGUGCGAAAGCGUGGGGAUCAAACGGGAUUAGAUACCCUGGUAGUCCACGCCGUAAACGAUGAGUGCUAAGUGUUAGGGGGUUUCCGCCCCUUAGUGCUGCAGCUAACGCAUUAAGCACUCCGCCUGGGGAGUACGACCGCAAGGUUGAAACUCAAAGGAAUUGACGGGGACCCGCACAAGCGGUGGAGCAUGUGGUUUAAUUCGAAGCAACGCGAAGAACCUUACCAAAUCUUGACAUCCUUUGACAACUCUAGAGAUAGAGCUUUCCCCUUCGGGGGACAAAGUGACAGGUGGUGCAUGGUUGUCGUCAGCUCGUGUCGUGAGAUGUUGGGUUAAGUCCCGCAACGAGCGCAACCCUUAAGCUUAGUUGCCAUCAUUAAGUUGGGCACUCUAAGUUGACUGCCGGUGACAAACCGGAGGAAGGUGGGGAUGACGUCAAAUCAUCAUGCCCCUUAUGAUUUGGGCUACACACGUGCUACAAUGGACAAUACAAAGGGCAGCGAAACCGCGAGGUCAAGCAAAUCCCAUAAAGUUGUUCUCAGUUCGGAUUGUAGUCUGCAACUCGACUACAUGAAGCUGGAAUCGCUAGUAAUCGUAGAUCAGCAUGCUACGGUGAAUACGUUCCCGGGUCU
rnacentral:rRNA from 1 species